rnacentral:rRNA from 1 species
AACGCGAAGAACCUUACCUGGGCUCGAACGGCUUCCUAACGCCGGUGGAAACACCGGUAUCCCGCAAGGGAGUGGAGUCGAGGUGCUGCAUGGCUGUCGUCAGCUCGUGUCGUGAGAUGUUGGGUUAAGUCCCGCAACGAGCGCAACCCUUAUCCCUAGUUGCCAUCGGGUCAAGCCGGGCACUCUAGUGAAACCGCCUGGGAUAACCAGGAGGAAGGUGGGGAUGACGUCAAGUCCUCAUGGCCUUUAUGUCCAGGGCUACACACGUGCUACAAUGGUCGGUACAAACCGUCGCAAACUCGCGAGAGGGAGCUAAUCGGAAAAAGCCGGCCUCAGUUCGGAUUGGAGUCUGCAACCCGACUCCAUGAAGCUGGAAUCGCUAGUAAUCGCGGAUCAGAACGCCGCGGUGAAUACGUUCCCGGGCCUUGUACACACCGCUCGCGA